rnacentral:rRNA from 1 species
UAGCAUAUCAAUAAGCGGAGGAAAAGAAACCAACAGGGAUUGCCCUAGUAACGGCGAGUGAAGCGGCAACAGCUCAAAUUUGAAAUCUGGCUCUUUCAGAGUCCGAGUUGUAAUUUGCAGAGGGCGCUUUGGCGUUGGCAGCGGUCCAAGUUCUUUGGAACAGGACGUCACAGAGGGUGAGAAUCCCGUACGUGGUCGCUAGCCUUCGCCGUGUAAAGCCCCUUCGACGAGUCGAGUUGUUUGGGAAUGCAGCUCUAAAUGGGAGGUAAAUUUCUUCUAAAGCUAAAUACUGGCCAGAGACCGAUAGCGCACAAGUAGAGUGAUCGAAAGAUGAAAAGCACUUUGGAAAGAGAGUCAAAUAGCACGUGAAAUUGUUGAAAGGGAAGCGCUUGCAGCCAGACUUGCCUGUAGUUGCUUAUCCGGACUUUUGUCCGGUGCACUCUUCUGCGGGCAGGCCAGCAUCAGUUUGGGCGGUUAGAUAAAGGUCUCUGUCAUGUACCUCCUUUCGGGGAGGCCUUAUAGGGGAGACGACAUGUAACCAGCCUGGACUGAGGUCCGCGCAUCUGCUAGGAUGCUGGCGUAAUGGCUGUAAGCGGCCCGUCUUGAAACACGGACC